rnacentral:rRNA from 1 species
AGGAUGAACGCUGGCGGUCUGCUUAACACAUGCAAGUCGAACGGAGUAGCAAUACUUAGUGGCGGACGGGUGAGUAACGCGUGAGAAUCUACCUUCAGGACGGAGACAACAGUUGGAAACGACUGCUAACCCCCGAUGUACCGAAAGGGCAAAUAUUUAUAGCCUGAAGAAGAGCUCGCGUCCGAUUAGCUAGUUGGAGAGGUAAAAGCUCACCAAGGCGACGAUCGGUAGCUGGUCUGAGAGGACGAUCAGCCACACUGGGACUGAGACACGGCCCAGACUCCUACGGGAGGCAGCAGUGGGGAAUAUUGCACAAUGGGCGCAAGCCUGAUGCAGCGACGCCGCGUGAGGGAUGACGGCCUUCGGGUUGUAAACCCCUUUCAGCAGGGGAGAAGCCUUUCGGGGUGACGGUACCUGCAGAAGAAGCACCGGCUAACUACGUGCCAGCAGCCGC